rnacentral:rRNA from 1 species
GACGAACGCUGGCGGCGUGCUUAACACAUGCAAGUCGAACGCUGAAGCUCAGCUUUUGUUGGGUGGAUGAGUGGCGAACGGGUGAGUAACACGUGAGUAACCUGCCCCCUUCUUUGGGAUAACGCCCGGAAACGGGUGCUAAUACUGGAUAUUCACUGGUCUUCGCAUGGGGGUUGGUGGAAAGGGUUUUUCUGGUGGGGGAUGGGCUCGUGGCCUAUCAGCUUGUUGGUGGGGUGAUGGCCUACCAAGGCUUUGACGGGUAGCCGGCCUGAGAGGGUGACCGGUCACAUUGGGACUGAGAUACGGCCCAGACUCCUACGGGAGGCAGCAGUGGGGAAUAUUGCACAAUGGGCGCAAGCCUGAUGCAGCGACGCCGCGUGAGGGAUGGAGGCCUUCGGGUUGUGAACCUCUUUCGCUCAUGGUCAAGCCGCAACAAUGGUUGUGGUGAGGGUAGUGGGUAAAGAAGCGCCGGCUAACUACGUG